GUCCUGGAAUAGCACAGUUGGUUAAAACAUGGUGCUCAUAAUGCCAGGGUUCCAGGUUCAAUCCCUGUAUGGGACA